ensembl:lncRNA
UAGUUCAAAACAUACAGGACUAGGUGCAGAGAACAAAAAAGUGAAUAAAACAGCUUCACCCACAAGUAGCUUGUAGUUCAGUGGGAAACAAUCUAAAUAAUAAUAGUAACAACAACAGUAGCUUCGCAUUUAUGCUCUCCAGGGCACAUUGGGCUAAAUGCUUUAUAUACAGACAAAUAUAAAAGAGAUUGAAAUACCAAGUAAUAAAGUGCUUUGCAAUUAGACAAAGUCGCAAAUAAAUUAAAGAUGACCUUGUUACCACUACUCAUCUUUAGAUGUCUGUCCCUCUUGGUUCCCCAUUGAGGCUGCAAGCUCCAUGAAUCAGAAGAGGACUCGUCCCUCUUUGUGUCUUCUGUGGUGGCCUCAGCAAAGUAUGUGUCAUUCCAAGAUUGUCCACUCAUUGGUUACUGCCCUUCCAGAGCCAAAAGGACCAGAGGAAAGGCUGCCUGGUCAGAGGUCAACGCCAUUGGAGGUCCAGUCAACAGGGCCUCACUGAGGUCACUUCGUCUGGCUCCUGCCAUCGGCCACACCCAGCUGGUAAGGAGAAGUUGUCUUUCCUUGAAGGGCCUGAGAGUAGAAAUAUCUACUUUUCCCAGGAGGUCCUGAGUUCUGACUCCUGUUCUUUGAAAAUUCUUCUCUUGGUCUUACGCCCUCUUCCCAGCUUUACUCUCCGAAACAUCCUUUGAGUGCAAGAGCGGUGCCUUUCACAUCCUCUCCUUCACUCGCCCUCCUGGUCAGCAGCAUCUCCUCCCUCCCAGGUGCCCCAGGGUUUCAGCCACUCCAGGUUCCACUGAGAUGGAAAUGCAUCCACACUAAGUCGUGGGAAAGGACUGAGCAUCAGAACCAGCAUCCGACUCUGGACCUGCCCCAGCUCUGCCUCUGCACCUCUGAAGAGUAACUCCCAUCCUGCCUUCUGGGCUCAUUAGGAGAAUCAAACAAGAUGACGUGUUAAUGGGCUUUACCACCUGGACCAUGUGAAACAGAGCUGAGGGGUCAUUAUUACCUGCAUUUUAAAGAGAAACCUUUAGGUUUUGAGUUUUAAAGCAGUUUUACUAAACCUAAUGAUGGAAGUUCAGACCAAGUUCAGACCUUUCUUUUCUGGAAAGAAGAGAAAUAUGGGGACACCAGGAUUGCUCAGGCCCAGCACGGUUUCCAGUGGGAGGGGAUCCUUGCCUCCGGCUCCUGGCAGCAGGAGACCUCUCCCCAAGAGCACAGCCUUCCUUUUGCAGCUUUUUUGAAACUGUAUGAUGAAAUAGAAGAGAAUUGGUGUCACGCAGAAUAGAACAUGAGCUCUGCUAACCUUCUCCAUCGACUCUGGAAGGCCACUUUCCUGCUCUAAGAAGCAGUGGCCUGGUGAGACUUUCCUGAGCAGCAGCCAUCUCUAAGGGCUGCUGGGCAAAAGCAAACUGGCUGGACUUUGGGCUCAGAAGAACCACAACAGCACAGACAAACAAACAACUGUCUAAGUAGAAAUGCAUUGGGCAAUGCCCGAGUAUAUAGAGGUUCUUGCACAGCAUUGUUCCUGAGACGGGGCAGACCAGAGACAGAGACCCCUGACAGGGAAAGGGAACGGGCUUGGGUCUCGCCAUGUGCCUAUCCCGCGGGCUCAGUUGAAUGCAUAACUCUCGUCGGAGCUGAACUUCUGGCUGUAAACAUGUGGUUGGAUUUACUUUGCUUUUCCAAAGUGGACACUUGGGCCAGCCUCACAACAACACAAAAGUGUAUGCAUUAUUUACCAGCCACUAGAAAAGUCGGCUUAGGAGGCAAAGAACAGGUUUCCAUUCUAACCCCCAUCAGAGAGCCAUAGAAGCGUGGGACAUUAGAGCUUUCCAGAACCUCAGAGAUUUCCCUUCAUUGUUCCCUCAAUCUUUGGGUGAGGAAACUGAGGCCAAGUCUGUAUCCUGCCCAAGACCACGUGCUCACUGAUGGUUGGGACCAGAUCUUUUUCAUUUCUAGGCCCUCAUUGUCUGGCAGAGUGCCUGAGUCAUGGUGGGAGCUCAAAAAAUGAUGACAAACACAUGGACAAAAAUAUUGACAAAAGGGUAAAAAUAGUGGAAUGAGAUGAGAGAUGUCUGCCCCUGUCCCUGUCCCACGGCUGUUCCCGUAGAAAUGGUGGCGUCUCUGUAAGCACAAGAACACCUUGCUUCAAAACAGAGUUCAUGUUGUUAAAACAGGGUGAGGCCAUUUCAAGUUCCAGUUUGUGAUCUGACCAACUUGAGGGGCUAAGGUGAGCUUCUUCCUUCUUUGGGACAGUGUUGAGACCUAUGUCCUUUGAACUCUGCCCUGGUUCAGUCCUCUCCGUCUUCUCUGCCCUAAUUGCUGCCUGAUGAAGGAUACUGAAGACAUUUAGCUGGCCAGGAUGUGCGCUGUGACUGUGUCCAUCUUUGUUGACCUCCCCACCCAGGCUGAGUGAGACUUUCCCAUCCUCUCAAACCUAUCCUUUCAUAAAAUCCUUUCA